GGACGAACGCUGGCGGCGUGCUUAACACAUGCAAGUCGAACGGUAAGGCCCUUUCGGGGGUACACGAGUGGCGAACGGGUGAGUAACACGUGGGUGACCUGCCCUGUACUUCGGGAUAAGCCUGGGAAACUGGGUCUAAUACCGGAUAUGACCUUCUCCUGCAUGGGGGUUGGUGGAAAGCUUUUGCGGUAUGGGAUGGGCCCGCGGCCUAUCAGCUUGUUGGUGGGGUAAUGGCCUACCAAGGCGACGACGGGUAGCCGGCCUGAGAGGGCGACCGGCCACACUGGGACUGAGACACGGCCCAGACUCCUACGGGAGGCAGCAGUGGGGAAUAUUGCACAAUGGGCGCAAGCCUGAUGCAGCGACGCCGCGUGAGGGAUGACGGCCUUCGGGUUGUAAACCUCUUUCAGUAGGGACGAAGCGCAAGUGACGGUACCUACAGAAGAAGCACCGGCCAACUACGUGCCAGCAGCCGCGGUAAUACGUAGGGUGCGAGCGUUGUCCGGAAUUACUGGGCGUAAAGAGCUCGUAGGCGGUUUGUCACGUCGUCUGUGAAAACCCGAGGCUUAACCUCGGGCCUGCAGGCGAUACGGGCAGACUUGAGUACUGUAGGGGAGACUGGAAUUCCUGGUGUAGCGGUGGAAUGCGCAGAUAUCAGGAGGAACACCGGUGGCGAAGGCGGGUCUCUGGGCAGUAACUGACGCUGAGGAGCGAAAGCGUGGGUAGCGAACAGGAUUAGAUACCCUGGUAGUCCACGCCGU
rnacentral:rRNA from 1 species